GUGCCAGCCGCCGCGGUAAUACAGAGGGUGCAAGCGUUAAUCGGAUUUACUGGGCGUAAAGCGUGCGUAGGUGGUCUUUUAAGUCGGAUGUGAAAUCCCUGAGCUUAACUUAGGAAUUGCAUUCGAUACUGGGAGACUAGAGUAUGGGAGAGGAUGGUAGAAUUCCAGGUGUAGCGGUGAAAUGCGUAGAGAUCUGGAGGAAUACCGAUGGCGAAGGCAGCCAUCUGGCCUAAUACUGACACUGAGGUACGAAAGCAUGGGGAGCAAACAGGAUUAGAUACCCCCGUAGUCC
rnacentral:rRNA from 1 species